UUUGUGCAUCGGAUGACGUCAUAGAAGCCAUGUGCGAAAAAAAGGCCGUUGACUGCACCGGUGCACUCGGGUCAAUGACAUUUGGACAAUUGAGCGACAGUUUGACACUGCCUGCAAAACAAUUGCAAUCCGGAUCUCUUUCCCAUCCGUUCAUCCGCAAUAAGGAACGAAUUAGCGGCGUCCUCUUCGAGCGUCUAGGCGUGGCCGGGCGCCACGGCGUUCUUAAAGCAGCCCAUCCACCCGGAAUCGGCGAUCCUCUUUAAGCGUCGCGGCGUUGCGGCGUGCCGCCACAAAGUGGACAACAGGGGAGCAUUCCCCCCAUCUAAUCCAUCCGCGUGCAUUCAUGCGCCAAACGAUCAAUGUCAAUUCGUUUGACGGAUGAGACUGCAACUGUCACUGCCGCCAUAUCUGUUGCAACUGAGAGGAGCGGCUAAUUGUAGAGCAUACAUUAAAAUGCAAAACUAACCUCUUUCUGCGCAUGCUCCAACGUUUAUGAGAGACGAUAGAUUGGCAAUACGACCUAACCUUAAGAUCGACCACAUUGUUGACAAUUGUUGAUCUGAAUCUGAAGUUUAUAUAUAAAUAAUCUUUAUUUCCUAAAGAAAAAGGCUAUCGACUCAAUCGGUCUUUCUGCCCUCUGAAGUAUUAAACAUGUUUAGACGAAAUUUUAAUGCUCUCUGUGCGACCAAACUGAUUCAACUGUGUCUGGUAGAAGUGGCCAUAUCAUAAAUUGUCACCCAGAUGCAAAGCAAGAAAUAAGCAACUAUUCCAUGUUGUUCCAUUGAAGUUGCAAUCAACAUCUUAAUAAUGUUCAUGUCUUAUUUACUAAAGAAUCGCUGUGGGGACCUUGUAUCUAUGUAACGUAUGUCCUAUGAAUGUAACAGAACUUCAUUUUAUUCCCUAUUUGAAAUUUUUAAUGCUUUUCUCUUUUUGGCUUUCUUAUUAUUUAGGAUUUGUUAGGACAUGUAGAGUGCGUGAUGCAUGUCCUAUUUGGUGAUGUACCCAAUAACCCUUUUUUAAAUAG